rnacentral:rRNA from 1 species
UAAAAACCCCGACUUCGGAAGGGGUGUAUUUAUUAGAUACAAAACCAAUGCCCUUCGGGGCUCUUUGGUGAUUCAUGAUAACUAUACGAAUCGCACGGCCUUGCGCCGGCGAUGGUUCAUUCAAAUUUCUUCCCUAUCAACUUUCGAUGUUUGGGUAUUGGCCAAACAUGGUUGCAACGGGUAACGGAGGGUUAGGGCUCGACCCCGGAGAAGGAGCCUGAGAAACGGCUACUACAUCCAAGGAAGGCAGCAGGCGCGCAAAUUACCCAAUCCCGACUCGGGGAGGUAGUGACAAUAAAUACUGAUACAGGGCCCUUUCGGGCCUUGUAAUUGGAAUGAGUACAAUUUAAAUCCCUUAACGAGGAACAAUUGGAGGGCAAGUCUGGUGCCAGCAGCCGCGGUAAUUCCAGCUCCAAUAGCGUAUAAUAAAGUUGUUGUGGUUAAAAAGUUCGUAUAGAUAACUUGGGCCGGGGAAAUUGGAAGCCAAAAGAUGAGUAAGGGAGGCAGGGUUUGUAACGUAUAGAACCUGGUGUCUCCACAUAUAAAGACGAAUAAAAUGAAAAAAAAUUCGAAAAA